rnacentral:rRNA from 1 species
AUGGUCGUCUCCACCUUCAGCGGCCCUGGGAUUGGGGUCGGUUUCUUGAUCUUGUCUCUGUCUGUUGAAAUCGGCGCAGGCUUCGGCGUCGGCUGCGGAUUCGGAGUCGGAUGGGGGUUCGGAGGAAUGCCUCUGAACGUAUUCGGCUUGGGCAUCGGUGGGGGAUGCGGAGUUGGUCUUGGUUUAGGAUGGGGCUUUGGAAAUGCUUAUGGUUGUCAAUAUCGAUCUUCAAGGGUCCAGUUUCAGGGCAUUGAGUUUCAGAAAAAGUCUGAAGGAGAUGAAGCACCAAAGCUUGUUGAAAAGUCUCGUCCUUAUGGCUAG